UUCAGGAUGUUGUAGAAGGGAGGCCUUCAAAAUGGGCAUCUGAGAGAUCGCAUCUGACAGGAGAGGCAGGGGCAGCCCAGGGCCUUGGAGAAGCUGGGUUGGACCACCGGUGAGCAGGUUCUUCAUAUAAGGCUCUGGAGCAAGUGGAACCGGAAGCUGGUCACACUCUGCUGAGCCAUAGACCUAGGCUAGAGGGCAAGAUUUUUGGAGUCUAAAAGGAGGACACUUAUGCAGCAGCCGUGAGGAUCAGGUAUCAGUUCUUUUCUUAGUACCCAACAGGCUGAGUCCGUGUCCCACCCCAGAUUAGAACCAGAAGAUGGCCAGCCACAGUAGAGGCAACUCUGGCUCAUGACAGGAUGCUUUCCUGGAAAGGCUGGUGCAUUUGCAGACCUGCCGGGGAGAUAGGUCUGGAGUCACAGCCCUCAGUGAUGGACAUGCGCAUGCACAAGCCCCAGAGAGAGAGGAUACGGCGGCUACUGGGCUGGGUGGAUGCAAGGAUGACACCUAGCAGUCCUGACAGCAGACCGUAAGCCUUGAAGCCACUCUUGCCUCCUGUUGCCCACUCACAGCAAAUCCUGUUGGUUCCACCUCCACACCAACUCCUUCUUAUUCCCUCAUAUUGCCCUCUGAAUCCCCACUGUCUCUUGUGGGGUACUCCAGCACCUCUACCAUCCUCCCUGUUUCUACCCUUCUCCCUAUUGUCUCUCCUUACCCUGGCAAACCCUAAGUCAUUUAUUUUGAAAGAUUUAUUUAUUUCAUGUGUUUUUCCUGCAUGUAUGUCUGUGUACACAUGUGUUCCUAGUACCCAGAGUGGUUGGACCCCCUGGAACUGGAGUUAUGGCUGCUUGUGAACCACCACUCGGGUAUCACACUCAGUCAUAAGCAAGAGCACCAAGUGCCCUUUCCUGGGGAAUCAUCUCUCCAGCCCUUACUUGUUUAUUUUUAUGUUUUUCUUCUUUCAAAGUUUUUUUCUGAGACAGGAUCUCUCUGUGUCCCUGGCUAUCCUGGAACUCUCUUUGUAGACCAGGCUGGCCUUGAACUCACAGAGACCCAUGUGCAGCCACAUCCCUGGGACUAAGGGCAUGGGCCACAAUGACCAGCUGAUUGGUUUCUCUUUGAUUCAAGGUCUGGCUAUGCCAGAGACAGGCUGACUUUGAACUUCUGAUCCUCCUGCCUCCAUCUCCUAAGUACUAGGUUACAGGUGCAUACAACUAGACACCGUUCAAGGCCAACCUAUUUUACAUAUCUGGUUCUAGCUCAAAAUCCAGAUAUGGUGGCACAUGCCUUUAAUCCCAGCACUAAGGAGUCAAGAGGCAGGUGGAUCUCAGUUUGAGGUUAUCCUGGUCUAUGGAGUGAAUUCCAGGACAGCCACAGUUGUAUAUAGAGACUGGGGGUGGGGCGGGGAGCAGAGAAAGAAAGAAGGAAAAGAAGAAAGACUCCUUCAACACUUCCUGCGCUGAGUGCCGCCUCUCAGAUGUUCUACCCCAGCAAGCACAGAUCCACUCCUUUCUCUUCCACAGUCUUCCAGCACUGCUGGUGUGGCCGCUCCACUGUUUAUUUGGAUGUGUUCAUUCUAUUGAUGCACCUUGGAUUGUUUCCAGUUCUUUGCUGCAGUUAAAAAAAAAUAACAACCAAAGAGAACAAAACAUCCCUUCUCCCACAUACCUGUAGAGAUUCUUUUCUUUUUCUUUUUCUUUUUUUUUUAAAUAUCAGUUUUUAUUCUGCCUCUAUGUAUAUCUAUGUGAAGGUGUCAGAUCCUCUGGAACUGGAAUUACAUACAGUAUUAAAUUGCCAUGUGGGUGCUGGGAUUUGAACUUUGGUCCUUUGUAGGAGCAGCCCAUGUUCUUGUCCACUGAGCCAUCUCUGCAGCCCUGAGAUGUAAAUUCUUAGAGUUGUUAUAAAGGGUGUGUACUUUGUUUUAUUUUUUCCAGGGAUGGGAAUUCAGCCUACAGUCUUCAGUAAAAAAAACUACCAUCAAGCUAAGUUCCUCACGUUGCUACAAAAACAUUUUUUUCUGUCAGCCUCUGUCCAGCUGUUUCAGGACCCGGCACCAUGCUGGUUUUCCUAAGGUUGCUGGUGUUCACAGGCUUCUUUCUCUCUGAUGAGCUUUGGCAUAAUUUGGUUGAAUCUUACCAGGUUCUGUGACACCACGACCAAAAAGUCACUUGGGAAAGAACACAGGGAUGAAUCAGUCUCCAUCUCUGUGAUGAAAAGGUCAUCUAGGCUGGGGAUCCUGCUGCUGAGGUCAUGCUGAUGGGAGGCAGUGAGGGCUGCAAACCAGUCCUAUCUAGCAGACGCCGUAGACCAGGAACCUCCAGAGAGGAGCCGAGCCGAGUUGGGUUUGGAGCAAUUGGGAAGUCCUCUGAGGAGUUCGGCCUCAGCUUUGCCCUGGCUACUGAACACUUUCUCAGAUACUAGGUCACUGAAUUCUCAUAACAGCUUUCGGUAUUGUCUUAGUUUAUUGCUGUGAUGAAACAUGACCAAAAAAGCAACUUGGGAAGGAAAGCGUAUAUUUGGCUUAGAACAGGAACUCAUACAGGGCAGGAACCUGGAGGUGGGAGCUGAGGCAGAGGGUUUGGAGGGAUGUUGCUUAAUGGCUUGCUCAUUGUGACCUGCUUAUUUAUAGAACCCAAGACCACCAGCCCAAGGGUAUCCCCACCCACAAUGGGCUGGGCCCUUCUACAUUAAUCACUAAUUGAGAAAAUGCCCCACAGGCUUGCCCACUGCCCAAUCACUGGGGGCAUUUUCUCUAUUGAGCUCCCUCCUCUCUAAUGACUCUAGCUUGUUGGCAUAAAACUAGCCAGUAUACUUAUUUAUUUAUUAUUUAUUUAUUUAUUAUUAUAAGACAUUUUUAUUUUAAUUUUUUUUUUUGGAUUUGGUUUUUUCGAGACAGGGUUUCUCUGUGUAGCCCUGGCUGUCCUGGAACUCACUCUGUAGACCAGGCUGACCUCGAACUCAGAAAUCCGCCUGCCUCUGCCUCCCAGAGUGCUGGGAUUACAGGCGUGAGCCACCACCGCCUAGCCAUUUUUAGUUUUAAAAAUUUUAAAAUUGUAUCUGUGUUUGUCUGCAUAUAUGGUAUGCCAUGUGCAAGUUUGGUUUCCAUAGGAGCUACAAGAGGGUGUUGAAUCCCUUAGAAAUGGAAUCGCUGACAGUUAUGAGACCUCAGGGAACUGAACCUGGGUGCUCUGCGAGAGCAGCAAGUGCUCUUAACUACUGCACCAUCUCUCCAAGUCCUAAUUUAUUUUUAUUUUAAAUUAUGUGUCUAUGUCAGUCCAUUGGUUUUCUAGACAGACUUCUCUUUCCCUCUUGCUUGUCAGUAUCAGAAAUUAGGCUUUUAGAGGUUCGUGUGGCGCCUCGGGUUGUAGUGCAGGUCUGUGACCUGAGCCACUCAAGAGGAUCAUGGGUCUCAAGCUCGUCUGGGCUACAGAGUGAGUUCGAGGCUAGUCUUAGUAAUUUAGUGAGAUACUGAGACCCCAUCUCAAAUCUAAAAUUAAUCAAGGGCAGGCUAAGUCAGGGAUGGUAUCAGCACUUGACGGGGUAGAGGCAGGAGGCCCAGAUGUUCAAGGUCAGUUCUUAGCUGUAUAGCCAGAUGGAGGCCAGCCUGUUCUAUAUGAAAUCCCAUCUAAGAAAGAAAGACAGAAAGACGGACAGACAGACAGAAAGAAAGAAAUACAGACAGAAAAGAAAGGGAAGACAGACAGAUAGAUAAAAAAAUGAGGACUGGAGAUGAAGUUCAGGUGUUAGGUGAAAUCCUGGGUUCAGGUACCAGCACUCACAAAACUCACACCUGUAAUCUCAGGCCUUGUUAUGCUUAACGGUGGAGGCAGGAGGAUCAUUGAGGCCAUACUUGGCUACGAAUUGAGAUAAAGGUCAGCCUGGACUGCUUGAGGCUCUGUUAAAAACAAAAAAUAGGGCCAGCAGGGAAAGAGGCUGGCUGCCAAGCCAGAAGUCCUGUGUUUAAUCCCCAGGCGCACGUAGUGGAAGAACAAAUUCCUGGACGUUGCCCUCUGGACUCCACGGGGGUCCUUCACCAGUAGAUCCAGCUCACUGGCCGGAUCCAGUGGGUCAGGUUGGACUACAGCCUGCAUAGCUUGCCUCUGUGGCCUAAGAGUCACGUGUCUUAUUAGUGUUGAAGACAGACCCAUAUGCGCACACUUACACACAAUACGGUACCGGCAAGCUGCACCGCUUUGCUGACUCUGGCUCCCCCGUGUGUCGACGACCGGAGCUUCAGUGGGCCUAGUGGGUUCUGCCUGGCUGCAUAAGAGUUGGGGGGGAAAAAAAAACAACCCAGAACCCAAUUGCUCCCAGCUGCUCUGGUUUGGAUCAUGCACAAAAGUUCAUGCAUUUAUGUGGUGCUGGAGAUGGAAGCCAAGGUUUUGUGAAUGGUAGACAAAAGUUCUACAACUGAGAUACUUCUUCAGCUGCUUUUAUAUUUUUGAAAACUAGAAUACAGGGUUUAUUUAAACAAUCUAAUUGAAGGCUGCAGAAACAAUUACUUUGUCAGUUGAGGGUGUUUAACCACCUUUGUAUUAUGAGGUUGGGUACUCCUUAUCAGCAUUGACCUCACGCCGUUGUGGAUACAUCUGGGAAAAAUGUGACUAAAGAAGGCUUGAGACUGGAGAUGGACUCUGUAAUCCGAAGUAUCAAAGAUUCCUGGUUUGAUCAUUUCUCAAUAGCAUGGUGGGGCAAAAAUCAUCCCUCUACAUAAAGAGACCUUUAUCGGCUCCAGAUGGAGGCGCCACAGCCUAGCAUUUGGGGCCCUUGGGGGCCAUUCUGAGCAACCUUUUGGGGCUUAGAUAAAUCUUCUGCACAUUUGCCACCACUCAGAGUAUCUCCCCACACCCCAGCAAGGGGGGAUGGGACUAAAAUCCAGAGACAUCUGGGCAGUGUUCAGACAUCACACAAACAUAUGGAACUGCAAACAUCUGCAUGGGCUCCCAUCCUGGGGCAGUCUACUGCACUGUCCCCCACUCUGCUCCUUUGUAAGCUUCUGUUCACCUGACCAAGAACAAGACAGUUCCCAGAGACCAAAGAAGACGGGCAACGAAAGAACUCAGCAGUGUGGAUUCCAGAAUGCCAGCCUUAGACUGCUACCACCAGUGGAGCACACACACUGGGACAACCGCACCGUCUGCUCUGGCAUCUGGCAUCUUCCUGCUUCCUCCGUGUUUCUGUUUGUUUGCGUUUGGUUUUGGCCAAUCUAAGUAAUGUAAUUUAUAUCUAAUUGUUGCUGUGACCCGAUUUUUCUGAUCGUGAAUAUAUCUUUU